GAUAUUAGGCAUGACUUAUAGAUUAUUUACAACUAUUUUUAUACUAUAAAUAUUUAAAUGCGUCAUAAUUAUCCGUCGAACGAUGUGUUAUAUAAAUAAAAAUUAACAUUCACAUGCUACAGAUUAUUAAGAAACGCAUAUUAUUUUGUUUUUCUUUAACACGUUUCGAGAAAGGUGGAUUACAGUGAAUGAAUUGUUAAAUAAAAGUGACAACAAAUUAAACCAUUAAAAUGUUAAGUCAAUCAGAUGAUUCAAGAUGGGGGUGAACAAAAGCGGAAAAAUAUAUACUUUUUUCUAAUACCAUGUUUGUGUCACUUAAUAGGUGUUUUAGAAGCGAAUGUUUCGUUAACAGCAUAUGGCGACAUUGCUUUAGAUGGACUUCUUAAAUGUUCCGGGCAAUGUGUUUUCGGCUGUAAAAUCAAACCAAACUCACUUGCUUUUACAUGGGAAAUAAACAAACAAAUUGUUUUUGAAUGUAUCAACAAUAUAUGCAACACACUUGGGACAAAUUACAAAUUUUCAUUUGAUAGUACUCAUGGCAUAUUUAACAUAUCAAUGGACAAGAUAGUAUAUGCUGACAAUUUGAAGCAGUUUAAGUGUGAUGAUGGCUAUGAGUCAGCAUCUUUUACUGCAAGAAUUAAAGGUAAAGUACAAGUAAUUUUAAUAAUUUCUUGCUUGUUGUACAUGUGUAAUCAUUAUAAGUUGAUGAAAAGUAGAUAAAACUCUUCUUCAUUGUAAUUUCUUGAAAAUUUAAUAAAAGGAAAAAUCAGAAAUGUUUUAAUUUUUGAAUCUUGAUUACAAAGAUCACGGCAGAAUUCAUGAACGCAGCCCCUGACAUGCAGCAAAAUCGAAACCAUUUUGAACAGAGAAAAACAUAGGACAAAGUAAAGGGCAAACUGAAACAGUAAGGGCGCGACGUCGAUACAAGUAAAAACGAAAUUAAAGAAACAGUCGAGCCAGGGAGGGACAAUUUCAAAAGAAAAACCAAGGGUAAACCUACAUCAGAGGACUGAAUACUCAUCUUAAGAUAACAAUUUUGAAGAGUAUCGUAUUUACUGCCUUGAGUCGAUCCACAAAUACACCAUUUCUUGUGUAAUUAUACCCUGCAGUACUUCCACUUAUAAAAUAAGUUGACAGAUGUAGUAUGUAGCAUUUGAUAUAACACAACGAUUGGUAUCAUUUUAUUUAAUUAAUUAUAAUUUCUAAUUUGGUAGUGAUACCAGAAGCUAGCGCUACAACAAUUACGUCGUCAAGUGAUUCAUCGUCAACUACUUCUAUUAAAGUAACGACAGGUUGCCUUUCGCCUAGUACAAGUGUCUCUUUUACAUGGUACUAUUUUAAGGAAGGACAGAUACCAGUUUUAUUUGAGGAAAUGAUACCAUUAGAAUCAACUGACGAAUAUGGCUGUAUAAAUGGACAUUGUGGAGGAAAAGGGGUUGUCAAGGUUACCAGUAGAUUGACUAUUGACGAAGAUUCCGAUGGAGAAUAUUAUCAGUUUUAAGUUUUGGUCAAUCAGACUGAUGCAGCAGAGUUAUAUAUUAAAACAGAUCGUAGAUUUAAACUAAAAGAUAAGGAGAACAAUAAAAUUACAACUCAUUCCACAAACGUUUUUCGGGACGGAAGUAAAAGAGUACAGACCGAAACAAGUUGGUUAAUGCUGGUCACAUACCGCUGGAUAAUAUUACAAUAGUGCUUCGUGUAGUCGGAAACGUCGCCAUCAAAGCGUCCGGAACACGGUGCUUUUAUAAAUAUUAAUUUUAAACGUAUGUAUAUAUGUUUUUAUCUAUUUGAAAAGACUCCUCCAAAAAGUAAAACUUUUUGAGGGAAAAAUGAAACAUAUUUUGUCAAUAAAAAUUCAAACGUAUUUUUUACAGUUGAACUAAUCUUGAAAAAGACACACGUUGUUGGCGGGAUAGAAACAUGCGCAUGAAAUAUAUUUCCGUGGCUAUGUGACCUGAAAAAAGUGCUAUUCGUUGGUACACAUGUGACACUUUUAUGGGAUAAUGUUUUUUUAUAAAAGAUAAUAGAAUGCUAGUGGUAGCAUUGAAGAGAUUUGUUGUUUGUUACGUCAUGUAAAGAUGUGGUUCAUGACAAUUUAUGUUUUGCUUUAGAUUUUUCACUUACUAGUCCUCCCAUUCGUUUCAUAAUUUAACUGUUUAUUUUUGAUAAUUGUGUAAAGGUGGAUAAGUCCGUCAUUUCACUGAACAUUUUCUAAAGUCUCCUUAAUCUCUAGUUUGAGCUCACUGAAAAAGGCGGACUAGUCCUCCUUCACGUUUUAUACUUGAGUUUUUUUUAUUGUUGUAUACAGGUGGAUUAGUCCGUCAUUUCAGUUAAUGAUUUAAAAGACUCCUUGAUCUUUAUUUCGAGUUUCACUGAAAAAGGCGGACUAAUCCCCCUUCAUGGUUUUAAUUUUAUUAUUGUUUAAAGUUGGAUUAGUCCAUUAUUUCAGUUAAUGAUUUCUAAAGACUCUAAUCUUUAUUUUGAGUUUCAGUGAAAAAGGCGGACUAAUCCUCCUUCGUCUUUUACAAUUGAGUUUCUGUUUCUUUUGAUUAUUGUAUAAAAGUCAACUAGUCCGUCAUUUCAGUUAAUGAUUUGUAAAGACUCCUUGAUCUUUAUUUUGAGUUUCACUGAAAAAAGGCGGACUAAUCCUUCUUCACGUUUUAUAAUUGAGUUUUUUUUGUUGAUUAUUUUAUAAAGUUGGAUUAGUCUGUCAUUUCAGUUUAUGGUUUCUAAAGACUCCUUGAUCUUUAUUUUGAGUUUAAUUGGAGAAGGCGGACUAGUUCUCCUUGAGAGUUUUAGUUUGAUUAUUGUUUCAAGUUGGAUUAGUCCGUCAUUUCAGUUCAUGAUUUCUUAAGACUCUUUGAUCUUUAGUUUGAGUUUCACUGAAAAAGGUGGACUUAUCCUCCUUAAUAUUUUACAUUUGAGUUUUUUUAUUAUUAUUAUUGUAUAAAAGUGAAUUAGUCCGUCAUUUCAGUUAAUUAUUUCUAAUGACUUCUUGAUCUUUAUUUUGAGUUUAAUUGGAGAAGGCGGACUAAUCUUCUUUCGUGUUUUAUAAUUGAGUUUUUUACUUUGAUUAUUUUUUAAAGUCGAUUAGUCCGUCAUUUCAGUCACUGAUUUCUAAAGACACUUGAUCUUUAUUUUGAGUUUCACUGAUAAAGGCGGACUAAUCCUCCUUCAUGUUUCCUUAUUGAGUUUUUUGUUUUGAUCAUGGUAUAAAGGUGGAUUAGUCCGUCAUUUCAGUGAACGUUUUCUUAAGAUUAUUUUAUAAAUAUCAUUUCUUUGGUUUAAGUUACAUUGAAUGGGGCGGACUAAUCCUCCUUCAAUUUUAUAAUUGAGUUUGUUUAGUUUGAUUAUUGUAUUAGGUUGGAUUAGUCCGCCAUUUCAGUUAAUGAUUUCUAAAGACUCCUUGAUUUUAUUUUGAGUUUAAUUGAAAAAAAAGCGGACUAAUCCUCCUUCAUGUUUUAUAAUUGAGUUGUUUAGUUUUGGUUAUUGAGUUUAAUUGAAGAAGGCGGACUAAUCCUCCUAGACUUUUUUAGUUUGAUUAUUGUAUAAAGUUGAAUUUGUCCGUCCUUUCAAUUAAUGAUUUCUUAAGACUCUUGAUCUUUAUUUUGAGUUUCACCGAAAAAGGCGGACUUAUUCUCCUUCAUGUUUUAUAAUUGAGUUGUUAAGUUUUG